rnacentral:rRNA from 1 species
GGAGCAUGUGGUUUAAUUCGAUGCAACGCGAAGAACCUUACCUACUCUUGACAUCCAGAGAAUUCGCUAGAGAUAGCUUAGUGCCUUCGGGAACUCUGAGACAGGUGCUGCAUGGCUGUCGUCAGCUCGUGUUGUGAAAUGUUGGGUUAAGUCCCGCAACGAGCGCAACCCUUAUCCUUGUUUGCCAGCACGUAAUGGUGGGAACUCCAGGGAGACUGCCGGUGAUAAACCGGAGGAAGGUGGGGACGACGUCAAGUCAUCAUGGCCCUUACGAGUAGGGCUACACACGUGCUACAAUGGCGUAUACAGAGGGCUGCAAGCUAGCGAUAGUGAGCGAAUCCCACAAAGUACGUCGUAGUCCGGAUUGGAGUCUGCAACUCGACUCCAUGAAGUCGGAAUCGCUAGUAAUCGUGAAUCAGAAUGUCACGGUGAAUACGUUCCCGGGCCUUGUACACACCGCCCGUCACACCAUGGGAGUGGGCUGCACCAGAAGUAGAUAGCUUAACCUUCGGGAGGGCGUUUACCACGGUGUGGUUCAUGACUGGGGUGAAGUCGUAACAAGGUAGCCCUAGGGGAACCUGGGGCUGGAUCACCUCCUUAC